rnacentral:rRNA from 1 species
CGGUAAUUCCAGCUCCAAUAGCGUAUACUAAAGUUGUUGCAGUUAAAAAGCUCGUAGUUGGAUUUCUGCGGGGACGGAGCGGCCGGUCGCAACUUGCGACUCGAGCUAGCGCUUUCCCCGCAUCCUGCCGCGAACCGUGCUACCAUUAGUUUGGUGGCGCUGGGGAUCGGCUCGAUUACUUUGAGAAAAAUAGAGUGUUCAAAGCAGGCCACACGCCUUGAAUAAGUUAGCAUGGAAUAAUGACUAAGGACUUUGGUUCUUUUCGUUGGUGUUCGGGACUGAAGUAAUGAUUGAUAGGGACAGUUGGGGCGGUCCGUAUUCCAAAGCGAGAGGUGAAAUUCUUAGACCUUCGGAAGACGAACAGCUGCGAAAGCGUUCCGCAAGGAUGUUCCCUUUGAUCAAGAACGAAAGUUGGGGGAUCGAAGACGAUCAGAUACCGUCGUAGUCUCAACUAUAAACUAUACCAGCUAGGGAUCGGCCAACGUUUAAUUAUUCGACUUGGUCGGCACCUUAUGAGAAAUCAAAGCAUCUGGGUUCCGGGGGGAGUAUGGUCGCAAGGCUGAAACUUAAAGGAAUUGACGGAAGGGCACCACCAGCCGUGGAGCCUGUGGCUUAAUUUGACUCAACACGGGAAAACUUACCAGGUCCGGACAUAGUAAGGAUUGACAGAUUGAUAGCUCUUUCUUGAUUCUGUGGGUGGUGGUGCAUGGCCGUUUUUAGUCGGUGGAUGUGAUCUGUCUGCUUAAUUGCGUUAACGGACGAGACCCCAGCCUGCUAAAUAGCGCGGCCGAGCUUUGCUCGGUGCGAGCUUCUUAGAGGGACCAUGAUGCGCGAUAGCACAAGGAAGUUUGGGGCAACAACAGGUCUGUGAUGCCCUUAGAUGUUCUGGGCCGCACACGGGCUACACUGGCGCCUGCAACGAGCAUAUCAGCUGGCCCGAGAGGGUCUUGGCUAAUCUUUGGAACCGGCGCCGUGCUUGGGAUUGACCAUUGCAAUUGUUGGUCAUGCAACGAGGAAUGCCUUGUAAACGCGAGUCAUCAGCUCGCAUUGAAUACGUCCCUGCCCUUUGUACACACCGCCCGUCGCUCCUACCGAUGAAUGUUCCGAUGAAAUUUUCGGAGAGCGCCGGAGAACGGGGCUCCGCCCUGCAGAACUGGAGGCUCAAAGUCACUUAAAUCUGAACAUUUCGAGGAAGGAGAAGUCGUAACAAGGUAGCCGU